GCUCGGGUGGCGAAAUUGGGAAACGCGGUAGGUUCAGAACCUACUGCCCAUUAGGGCUUGCGGGUUCAAGUCCCGCCCCGAGCAUCA
rnacentral:tRNA from 1 species